rnacentral:rRNA from 1 species
UACGAAGGGUGCAAGCGUUACUCGGAAUUACUGGGCGUAAAGCGUGCGUAGGUGGUUCGUUAAGUCUGAUGUGAAAGCCCUGGGCUCAACCUGGGAAUGGCAUUGGAUACUGGCGACCUAGAGUGCGGUAGAGGGGUGUGGAAUUCCCGGUGUAGCAGUGAAAUGCGUAGAUAUCGGGAGGAACAUCUGUGGCGAAGGCGACACGCUGGACCAGCACUGACACUGAGGCACGAAAGCGUGGGGAGCAAACAGG